rnacentral:lncRNA from 1 species
UUUCCUCCUGCAUCUGGGAGCUGCCAGCAACCCAGUUCCAGGAGAGAAAAUAGCUUGACACCUCCUGCGGCCCAUGGAGUCCUCCCGUUGGGACAAGGACCCCCCAGGAGAGAGAAGACCCCAGCAGAGUCAACACUGGAGGGCCAGGGACCAUGGUGCCCGGGGCUGUGGACCACGCCAGCCCACAGCCACUGCAAGCCCCAGACCGGGGCUGUGGAUAACGCCAGCCCACGGCAGCCACACGCCCCAGACCAACACGAGAAGAACGCAGGCCGACAACAUCUUCAUCUAUGCUCUCGCCACACUCAGUCAAUGUCCACUGGGGGCCUCAGGGGCACCUCCACCUGCCCAGGUCUGGGACCACCGUCCUCCACGCAUAUCUACAGACCCUGUCCUCACCUGCAUCACACCAAUGAUGGCGUCACAGCGUGGGUUCCGGUCACCAGUCGGCCUCCCCCACCAACGUGGACUCCUUACAAGCAGAGCCACCAACGUGGACACGAUCCCAUCAGGAACCACCUACUUUUGCAUCCCCAGCACUGUGCUCAGGUCCCAGGGAGGCCCCAGCAAACUGUGGAACAACCAAACUCGUGACUGAAUGAACAAGUAUGU